rnacentral:rRNA from 1 species
UAGUCCACGCCGUAAACGAUGAGCACUAGGUUUUGGAGGUAUUGACUCCUUCAGAACCGCAGCUAACGCAUUAAGUGCUCCGCCUGGGGAGUACGGCCGCAAGGCUAAAACUCAAAGGAAUUGACGGGGGCCCGCACAAGCGGUGGAUUAUGUGGUUUAAUUCGAAGCAACGCGCAGAACCUUACCUAGGCUUGAACUCCUGAGAAUUUCGGGUAAUGCCGAAAGUGCCCUUCGGGGAAUUCAGUGAGAGGUGCUGCAUGGCUGUCGUCAGCUCGUGUUGUGAAAUGUUGGGUUAAGUCUCGCAACGAGCGCAACCCCUAUCUUUAGUUGCCAGCAUUUAGUUGGGCACUCUAGAGAGACUGCCUGGGUUAACCAGGAGGAAGGUGGGGAUGACGUCAAGUCCUCAUGGGCCCUUAUGUCUAGGGGCUACACACGUAAUACAAUGGUGCAAACAAAGGGAAGCGAACUCGCGAGGGGGAGCAAAUCUCAAAACUUGCAUCUCAGUCCGGAUUGAAGU